CCCUUAGAUGUUCUGGGCCGCACGCGCGCUACACUGAGUGGAUCAGCGGGUCAGGUUGCGCGAAAGUGUUUCCUAAUCUUGAAAUCCGCUCGUGAUGGGGAUUGACGGUUGCAAUUUUCCGUCAUGAACGAGGAAUACCUUGUAAGCGCGGGUCAUCAUCCCGCGCUGAAUACGUCCCUGCCCUUUGUACACACCGCCCGUCGCUCCUACCGAUUGAGUGGUCCGGUGAGGCUUUGGGAUCUGAGCGGAAAGAGCGUUUCGCUGUUUCUGCUCGGAAAACUCAGUCGAACCUUAUCAUUUAGAGGAAGGAGAAGUCGUAACA
rnacentral:rRNA from 1 species